UGGGGAAUCUUGCACAAUGGGGGAAACCCUGAUGCAGCGACGCUGCGUGUGCGAUUAAGGUUCUCGAAUCGUAAAGCUCUGUCCUAUGGGAAGAUAAUGACGGUACCUUGGGAGGAAGCACCGGCUAACUACGUGCCAGCAGCCGCGGUAAUAAGUAGCGUGCGAGCGUUGUGCGGAAUUACUGGGCGUAAAGGGUUCGCCGGCGGCAUGGCAAGUCCGUUGUAAAAGGAGUAAGCUUAACCUUCGUAAGCAUCGGAAACUGUCAAGAUUGAGUGAAAGAGAUGGAAAUGGAAUUCCUAGUGUAGCGGUGGAAUGCGUAGAUAUUAGGGAGUAUACCGGUGGCGAAGGCGACUUGCUGGACUUCUACUGACGCUGAAGAACGAAAGCGUGGGUAGCAAACAGG
rnacentral:rRNA from 1 species